rnacentral:rRNA from 1 species
GUAGGGUGCGAGGCGUUGUCCGGAAUUUAUUGGGCGUAAAGGAGCUCGUAGGCGGUCUGUCGCGUCGAUCGUGAAACUUGGGGACUUGACCCUGACGCUUGCGGUCGAUACGGGCAUGACUGGAGUUCGGCAGGGGAGACGUGGAAUUCCAUGUGGUAGCGGUGAAAUGCGCAGAUAUCAGGAGGAACACCGGUGGCGAAGGCGGGUCUCUGGGCCGAUACUGACGCUGAGGAGCGAAGCGUGGGGAGCGAACAGG